UCUUGAAAGCCCUCGGGUGGUCACUGUUG
rnacentral:piRNA from 1 species